rnacentral:lncRNA from 1 species
AAACUGAAGCUACAGAGUGGAGAGAUAACAAAAGAAGAGAAGCAGCCCUGCAUCAGCGCAGUCCAUCCCACGCAGCAUCCCUCAUCCUUCCCCUAGGCAGAGGCCCAGAGGCUGUUUCACCUCUGAUUCUUCCACAGCCUUACCUGGCCCAAAUCCUAGCACCAUGGAUUCUGAAAGUAACGAUAAGAACAGAAAUUCAUCAGAUAAAUGGAGCCCCUUUGAAUCAAGAUCCCUCCAGGAGUAUGAUUCAGGAAGUUUUGCCACCCAGGCCUACUGAGGAGCCCAAAGCCCUCUCCAAUGGAAUGGAUCUGUGUCCAAGCCACUCAAAUGGCUGAAGACCCAUCAUGACCCUGAAGCUGCCCAAGAUGGACAGCCCAGUUAUGGAAGGGAGGAAACAGCUGCCAUGGACCCAUAAUCUCAAACCCUGUGGUUUGAAUAUGCUCACUCUCACUGGCUUCUAG